rnacentral:lncRNA from 1 species
CCGCCGCCAGCUCCCCUCCGCUGCCGCCCCCACUGCCGAUGCCACGACCGCCCCUCUCCUCCGUAACUUCGCCCCGGAUGAGCCCCGCAAAGGCGCCGACAUCCUAGUCGAGGCCCUUGAGCGGGAGGGCGUCACCGACCUUUUCGCCUACCCCGGCGGCGCCUCCAUGGAGAUCCAUCAGGCUCUCACCCGCUCGCCAUCUAUCACCAACCACCUCCUCCGGCACGAGCAGGGGGAGGUCUUCGCUGCCUCUGGAUACGCCCGCUCCACUGGUCGCCCUGGCGUGUGCAUCGCCACCUCCGGCCCUGGCGCCACCAAUCUCGUCUCCGGUCUCGCCGAUGCCCUCCUUGACUCCGUCCCUCUCGUCGCCAUCACCGGCCAGGUCCCUCGCCGCAUGAUCGGCACCGACGCUUUCCAGGAGACCCCCAUCGUUGAGGUCACCAGAUCCAUCACCAAGCACAACUACCUGGUCCUCAACGUUGAUGACAUUCCCCGCAUCAUUAAAGAAGCCUUCUUCGUAGCCACCACGGGCCGCCCUGGCCCGGUGCUCGUUGACAUCCCCAAGGACAUCCAGCAGCAGCUUGCCAUCCCUGUAUGGGACCCACCGCUCCGCCUUCCCGGCUACAUCUCCCGCCUCCCCAGGCUUCCUGCACGCCCUCUGCUCGAUCAGAUCCUCCGCCUGGUGUCGGAAUCCCGUCGCCCAGUC